ACAUGGGAGAGGAGAAGAAGAGGAGAGAAAGGAAGAGGAAGAAAAGAAAGAAGGGGGAAGAACUCACCUUGGCUUCUGACUGCCCAAAUAGUUGCCAGAGAGACGCGCAUGUACCUCAAGGCCGGUAGUGAGUUAAACAACUGGUUGAUACACUUGGAACCCAAUUUGACAGAAUACAACCGAGAUGAUGCAGGUACAUAGUGCCAUUGGGUGGUGACUCAACCUCAUCGGGGCCUGACUAUGGAGUAGGUGACUGGUGGAUGCCAGAAGCCGAAGAGCAUGAUUAGGACUGUGCUUGUGACUACUGUGCAUACGCG